ACGGGGCCCGCACAAGCGGAGGAGCAUGUGGUUUAAUUCGAUGAUACGCGAGGAACCUUACCUGGGCUCGAACGUAAGAUGACUGUAGGUGAAAGCUUACAUCUCCUCGGAGCAUUUUACGAGGUGCUGCAUGGUUGUCGUCAGCUCGUGCCGUGAGGUGUCGGGUUAAGUCCCAUAACGAGCGCAACCCCUACUUUUAGUUGCCAUCAGGUAAUGCUGGGGACUCUAAAGGAACUGCCUACGCAAGUAGUGAGGAAGGCGGGGAUGACGUCAAAUCAGCACGGCCCUUACGUCCAGGGCUACACACGUACUACAAUGGCCGAUACAGAGGGCAGCUACCUGGUGACAGGAUGCAAAUCUCCAAAGUCGGUCUCAGUUCGGAUCGGAGUCUGCAACCCGACUCCGUGAAGUUGGAUUCGCUAGUAAUCGCGCACCAGCCAUGGCGCGGUGAAUACGUUCCCGGGCCUU
rnacentral:rRNA from 1 species